AGAUAAAUGGGACUCCAGCGUCUCUAACAUGAUGCGUACACAGCCUCAGAUAAUCAGGAGCAGCAAGUGUGUGCCAUGUUGGAUAAAGAUGCACAGCUCUUCCCCACCGCACUGUGAAUGGCAUGAAGGCAGGGCCUGGGCCUCAGCCCUCUCUGGACCUAUGAUGCCUAACAUGUUUCUUCGCCCAGAGGAAGAAUCCAGAACUUGUUGAAUAGGAGAAGGAAAAAGCCCAGGAAGGAAGAAUGAUACAAUAGAACCAAGAAUUGUCUCAGGGCCAAAGAUAUUCACUACCCAAGGACUUAUAAAGUUAGAAACAGACCGAAGAAGAGGCAGCGUGGGGAGUCAUGGCUGGGAGCUGUGGAGGAAAGCAUUUCUGCCUUUGCGUCGAAUGCUCAAAUGCGGCACUCUGAAAGGCACUGCUGUAAUUCAGCUACCCAGCUUGCACUUGAAGCCAAAUGAAAUGCAAACUUGCCUUUCAAUAGCGAACCUCACUGAGGAAAUGCCAGUUAGCGAUGAAGAUUAAAUUGGACACAAGUUUGAUGAAAGUGGAAUUUGGGCCUUUCCUUUAAGUUUUCAGAGAGUUUGCUCUAACAUCUACAAAAAGAGAUGAGUUAGUCAUGGAUGUUUACGUGACUGGCUGGACAGGCACUCACCAUAUUGUGAAAGGCAGCAAUGGUCUCCAGAUGAUGGUCUAUGGACUAGCUGCAUCAGUAUCAGCCAGCGAAGGAUAUUUUAGAAACUUGGAAGGGCUCUAACGUCUAACACCUAUCAUUUAAUCUGGACGGUCUCCAUGUGUGACUCCUGGUCUCAGGUAUGUGUCGCUUUCUGUGUUCAACUCCUUUUGCCACAGGCUGCCCUUUAACACCCACAUCUCCCCUUCUCCUCUGAGUUAGCACCAGCUGGAAGUCUUUUUUGUUCUGGCACACCGUCUUUGAC
ensembl:lncRNA